rnacentral:rRNA from 1 species
AUGGCGGCAAUGAGUGCGGAAGGCCAGAUCUGUGCGGCUGAUGGCGUGAUCGAUACUGAAAUCGAUGGUUUACUGCAAGCAUCCGAGCAGUCGAUUACUCGAUUUGUUAGAUCGACCCAAAAGCCCCAGCAUGGACUCGAAGCUGAUGGCAUAUCUGGUCUUGCGUGCACAGUGAGGAUCGGUGCUGCCGCACCAGGAAGGUCACCUUGUCGUAAUCGCACUAGUGCACUGGAGAAGGCAAUUCAUGGUUUUGCGGAAAAUCCAGGAGAUGAUGUGAUUGUCCCUGCACUAGGAACAAGCUUUGAUUGUUUGAGUGAAGCCUUCGACUAUUGCCAUUGGACUUCGAUUCUUUUGGAUGAAGCAUACGACUUUUACAAGCUUCGAUUCUUUGACUAA